UUGUUCUCAAGACGGCUGAGCAAACUCCUUUAUCUGCUCUUCUUGUUGGAAGACUACUUCAUGAGGCUGGACUUCCUGAAGGAGUUGUGAAUAUAGUUUCUGGAUUUGGUGCUACAGCUGGUGCAGCCAUAGCUAGUCACAUGGACGUAGAUAAGGUUGCUUUCACCGGGUCUACUGACGUCGGGAAGAUCAUUCUUGAGUUGGCUUCAAAAAGCAACCUUAAGGCAGUGACACUUGAGCUAGGAGGAAAGUCACCAUUCAUUGUAUGUGAAGAUGCUGAUGUGGAUCA